rnacentral:rRNA from 1 species
UACGGAGGAGGCAAGCGUUAUCCGGAAUUAUUGGGCGUAAAGCGUCCGCAGGUGGCACUUCAAGUCUGUCGUCAAAGACUGGGGCUUAACCCCAGGAAGGCGGUGGAAACUGAACUGCUAGAGUGUGGUAGGGGCAGAGGGAAUUCCCGGUGUAGCGGUGAAAUGCGUAGAGAUCGGGAAGAACACCGGUGGCGAAAGCGCUCUGCUGGACCACAACUGACACUCACAGGACGAAAGCUAGGGGAGCGAAUGGG